rnacentral:rRNA from 1 species
CGUCGACAGUCUGCCUUCUUUAGCGAGACCCCUGCGUCUAGUUGCUACCAUUACUCUCUGGAGCAGUGGAGCGAAUUAGACGGACCGCCACAGUUAAUGUGGAGGAAGGAUGGGGCCACGGUAGGUCAAUAUGCCCCGAAACCCUAGGGCUACACGCGGGCUGCAAUGGUAUUGACAAUGUGUUCCGAAUCCGAAAGGAGGAGGCAAUCAUCAAACAAUAUCUCAGUUAUGACUGAGGGCUGUAACUCGCCCUCACGAAAAUGGAAUCCCUAGUAACCGCGCGUCACUACCGCGCGGUGAAUACGUCCCUGCUCCUUGCACGAAUUCGCCG